rnacentral:rRNA from 1 species
UCCAAGUGUGAAUUCUGGUUACCCGAAGUCACCUACCUUGGUCAUGUUAUCUCCAAGGAUGGUAUUGCCGUCAACCCAGAGCGCGUUCAGGCUAUUCUUGACUGGACCCCUCCAAAGACUGUCAAGCAAGUCAGAAGCUUUCUCGGACUGGCCAGCUAUUGUCGCCGCUUUGUCGAGAACUUCUCCAAGAUCGCCAAGCCACUGACUAAUCUGCUUCACAAAGGCGUUAAGUUUGAUUGGACAGACAAAUGUCAGGAAAGUUUCCAGGCACUCAAGGAUAAACUGACUUCUGCCCCA